AUGAUUAAAAAAUUAAAGCAUUCUAUCUUCUCGCUUAAACAUACCGAAGAUUUCUCUGUACAAUUAAAAAAAUUUGCCCUAAUUUACAUCUCUCAAUUUUCUCCUCGCUGUUGUGUGUGCAAUUCCCUCCUCAUUGUGUGAAAUUUGAUAUUAGCUCUAGCAUUCACGUGCGCAAACUUGAUACUCGAUUCCCUUCGGAAACCUGUUGAUGGCAUGCUUGUUGAUAGUAGUUCUCGUAGUGUGAUAGGGGAUGGACCUUCAUCCCCAAAAUAUUCUGACAGACUUUCACCUGCAAUCAACCACUAUAUGUCUGAGGCAACAAGACAAGAAGUUAGAGGAACUCCGGAUAAUGGUUAUUUGUGACAGAGGGUCAACUCCCAGUUAAGCUCGCUUAGUCAGCCAUAUUCUUUGAAAGAAGCCCUAGCUCAAGCCAGUCCUCUAGAAUUGGAGCUUCAGCAUUAGCAUUAAGGGAAACGUUGCACCCAAUCUUAUGGCUAAAGCUGGAACUUUGGGAAGAGAACCUGAGUGCUGUUGUUAGUAUUCCAGUUUUAGAAGUUUCUGAGAAGUUCUGACGGACUAUCGUAACGAAGCAUAUUGCUACUGAUUAUGGGAAAGUUGACCAUAUCACAUCCAUAUUUAUGAAUACGGGAAGAUUAAGAGUCAUGCUAACCAUUUCAUUGUCAGAGUUAAUGUCUGAAGUUCGAGUAACACAAACGAAACCUGAUUAAACACUAGAAGAAAGUGGUGAAGCUCGUCAUCUUCGAAAUUCUUUAGAGGAAAUGGAAAAUGAGGCUAAGAGUUCAUCCUUAUUAGUAGUGUCUGGGCUCCUAGGAAAUGCAGUGGUUACUAUUCACGAAGGAUUAGUAGAAAACCUCUGGUCCUGGUCUGAGGUGAAAUUUCUUUCUGAGAGUCUUCUUAUGGCUCUUGAUGCCAGCCUGGAACAUGCACUACUGGGCUCUGUCAUGAAUGUCGACAGAUAUGCAGCUGCCGAGAGAGCUUUUAUAAACUAGCGAUGGCAUUUUCUCCUGUUCUAGAUCUUAACAUAAUGUGGUUACUGUAUCUUUGUGAAGCUUACUAGGAAAUGCAGCCUUGGGCAGAAGCUGCUCAAUGCACUGUUGUUGUUGCUGGUUUAGUGAUACAUGUAACUUCGAUUUGAUAGCCUUCCCGUUUCUUGUAGUGGUGUUUGAAGGUGGAAGUUAGUAAUCGUACUUUACCAAGAAAAAUUAUCUUUUGUUAUUUGUUUCCAAGUUAGUGAGGGAAAUCCUUAUUUGUUUCCUAGUUAAUUAGGAUUCAUAUAUUUUUUCUUUAUGACUACGACUGAUCAUCAAAUUUUCAUAAAGAUCAGCAUCUAGACUUGGAUUUACGGUUUUGUAUGGUAGGUACUCUUUUAUGUUAAAGCAUUUAAUUCAUUCCGCAGUUACUUGA